rnacentral:rRNA from 1 species
CGUAAUAGCUCACUGGUCGAGUCGGCCUGCGCGGAAGAUGUAACGGGGCUAAACCAUGCACCGAAGCUGCGGCAGCGACACUGUGUGUUGUUGGGUAGGGGAGCGUUCUGUAAGCCUGCGAAGGUGGCCUGUGAGGGUUGCUGGAGGUAUCAGAAGUGCGAAUGCUGACAUAAGUAACGAUAAAGCGGGUGAAAAGCCCGCUCGCCGGAAGACCAAGGGUUCCUGUCCAACGUUAAUCGGGGCAGGGUGAGUCGACCCCUAAGGCGAGGCCGAAAGGCGUAGUCGAUGGGAAACGGGUUAAUAUUCCCGUACUUGGUGUUACUGCGAAGGGGGGACGGAGAAGGCUAUGUUGGCCGGGCGACGGUUGUCCCGGUUUAAGCGUGUAGGUGUGUGUUCCAGGUAAAUCCGGUUCACUUUAACACUGAGGCGUGACGACGAGGCACUACGGUGCUGAAGCAACAAAUGCCCUGCUUCCAGGAAAAGCCUCUAAGCAUCAGGUAACAUCAAAUCGUACCCCAAACCGACACAGGUGGUCAGGUAGAGAAUACCAAGGCGCUUGAGAGAACUCGGGUGAAGGAACUAGGCAAAAUGGUGCCGUAACUUCGGGAGAAGGCACGCUGACACGUAGGUGAAGUGAUUUACUCAUGGAGCUGAAGUCAGUCGAAGAUACCAGCUGGCUGCAACUGUUUAUUAAAAACACAGCACUGUGCAAACACGAAAGUGGACGUAUACGGUGUGACGCCUGCCCGGUGCCGGAAGGUUAAUUGAUGGGGUCAGCGCAAGCGAAGCUCCUGAUCGAAGCCCCGGUAAACGGCGGCCGUAACUAUAACGGUCCUAAGGUAGCGAAAUUCCUUGUCGGGUAAGUUCCGACCUGCACGAAUGGCGUAAUGAUGGCCAGGCUGUCUCCACCCGAGACUCAGUGAAAUUGAACUCGCUGUGAAGAUGCAGUGUACCCGCGGCAAGACGGAAAGACCCCGUGAACCUUUACUAUAGCUUGACACUGAACAUUGAGCCUUGAUGUGUAGGAUAGGUGGGAGGCUUUGAAGUGUGGACGCCAGUCUGCAUGGAGCCGACCUUGAAAUACCACCCUUUAAUGUUUGAUGUUCUAACGUGGACCCGUUACCCGGGUUGCGGACAGUGUCUGGUGGGUAGUUUGACUGGGGCGGUCUCCUCC